AUGGAUGAUGGUGUCGCUGGCCAAGUUUUGACCGUUGAAGUUGAUCAUACUAUCUUUUUAACUGGUAUAGUUCGUUUAACUGCUGAUGACAAUAAGAAUACUGUGCUGCAGUUUGCAGACUCAGCUUCCUCUGCUUUGCUCAGCUGUGUAAGACUGCCACCAACAAGGCUGCCCUGCAUGUCUGUAGAAUUGCAUCACUUGAGCAACGUCUCCAUGUAUGUCCCGUCGACGAGCCAUCGUGAUUUGCUUCUUGUCUUGCUUCGAGCAGUUCCUCAGGGGACUUGGUUAGUGGUCACGUGGAGGGAUCAAUUGGGUGGCCUGCAUGUUUGCACACCAAACUUAAAACCUGAGAAGAGCAUUAUACCAACAGAUGGAGGGAAAACGGACGCAGGAGACGGAGUUUCUCUCUUCCUCAACUUUCCCAAACAUUUCGUUGAACACCUUCUGAGCGGCGCGAGGGGCGACGAUGCCACCGAGGAAGUGUACGGCGGAGCAACGACUGCUCAACGCUGGCAUCAGCUGCAAAAACCAACUUGGAGAGGAAGUAGACAGAGGGAGGUAAGCUGGUCCGCUGGCGGUUGGGACUCCCUCCCCGUCGGGGCCGCUGCCCGCGCGUGCACGGGCCGCGCCUCGGCUCUUUCGACCGCCGGCUUACUGCUGCGAAUGCUGCCGCGAGCUGCCGAGCCGGGCCCUAGCCGAGCUCCCUCGCGCCUGCGCAGCAGCCCGCUCUGGCGAGGCCGAGCCCCCGCGGCGCCCCUGCUUCUCCAUCGCCACCGUCCCUCCAGGUUCUUUCCGCGCCACCGCUCCCCCAUGCCCCUGGUGCGCACGGGCGGUGCUGCUAUGCGUCCCAGUCCGCUGCUCGAUGUGGGUGCGCCUUGGGAAACCGGUGCGUGCAGCCCUCGUGCCGUGAACAGCCUACGUGGGCGAGGAAGCUCCGGCUGUGCCCGACGUACGAUGCAUGCGUCCAUGCGGUGCGCACCACACACGCUGUCCACCGGAGUCAGAACAUCGACAUGGUGGAGGUUCAGUCUUCAGUCCAGGCGGUGCUCCUUGACGACGACCACCACGGCGAGCUCCAUGCCCAUGCGGACAAGAGCUCAGCGGACGGACUUGAGAGCUCCUCCGCGGGGCCCCUGCCUGGCCGUUGCAGCCCGAGAGCCCCCGCUGGCCAGGGGUCGCCGCCUCGAGAGGAUCGUGGAAUUCAUGUAUGCCAAUGUUCGUGGAAUUCUCUCUAAACCGAUUCAGUUCUACGACAAGUUGAAGGAACUAUUUAGUGGCUCCUCGACAGGUGGUUCUUUUAUGCAAGACCCUUUCUCUGCAGCUAAAACUGACAAUGAUGAUAAGGUAAAAGAUGACAUGAUGAAUGAUAUGUCCACCUUUGAUGAAGCGAAGGGUCCAACAGGUCAUGACUCGGAUAAAUUAGAUACGGAUAGUGAUGAUUGUGAAGCGGUGGCUGCUCUUGCUGCAACUGAUAGUCAAGUUUCCUCGUCCAAUGUUGCGGCUCUAAAGCCUAACAAGAAAAGUUUUAAAAAAAGUGCAAAGCCAAAUACUCUGCCACCACCACAAAAUGAUAAAGCUAAAAAGUCAAAGCCAAGAUCAUCUCAAGCAUCACAAGAUGACACUGAUAUGGAUGUGCUGCUCACAAGUACUUUGAUAGACAUACAAGAAACCCUUGCAAGUCCAGUACAGGCUGUAGCCCCAAAGGACCCAAAUGCUCCUUUAUGGGACAUGCUCGAGAAGAUUUCAUUGCCACUUGAUGAGAGGAUGUCGGUCGGGAUGCAUCUAUGCAAGCCAGAAUUUGCAAUCCAUCGAGAUUUUCUUGUCAGCAUGGGUCAAGAAUACAUGGAGCGUUGGGUGGAUACAUACUUAUCUGACAAUUAUCCUGCUGGCAAACGUGUCGGUGAUUAUCUUGUUGGUAACCGAAACAAUGAUCAUACUAGUAACCUUGGCGAUGAUCCUGUUGUUAACUCUAGCCCUUUCUGA
rnacentral:rRNA from 1 species